GUGCUCGCUUUGGCAGCACAUAUACUAAAAUUGGAACGAUACAGAGAAGAUUAGCAUCCCCUGCGCAAGGAUGACACGCAAGUUUGUGAAGCGCUCCAUAUUUAA